ACCGUGAGGAUAAAGAGAUUGAGCUGAACAAGUGUGUGGGGGGGUUUCUUAGAGUUGUUUGUCUAAGGGUAUAGAACUGCUUGUCUGCUGCUUGUAGCCUGCCUCCCUACUCCAGUCCACCCUGGGUAGGUGAUUCCCAAUUCUCUCUCAAGACUUGCUAAAUUAAACUUCUGUUUCUACUGAGAGAAACCUCUGAAUUUUUAUUUGGCAUUCCAUCUUCCCAGCUUUUUGUCAAGGAAGGAACACAUCUGCACUCAGACUGAUCUACUACAGAGAAACCGUGGGCAAAGGAAGAAAAGCCCAGGGGCUGGAAAGCAUUUUGUUUGGGUUUUUCAUCUAAACCCUGAAGAUUCAUCAUGGAACUGAAUGCUAAGGCCACAUGGUUAGAGACUUAAAAACAACCGUUCAGACAGAUGGCAGAUGCUGGGAAGCUGAGAACCUGUGGAAUUGCAGAAGGGGAACUUCCAGGAUCAGUUUUGCUAUGUGUAGCCCAGGCUAGAGACUGAGCCGUGUACAUUGGCUAGCCUCCACUCCAGACAACCAAAGAACUAAGUUCCAGAAAGGGAUUGAUCAUCUCUUAACAACUGCUCAUUCAUCUUUCCCUCCUUAUGCGAGAGCUGGCUGUAUUUGACACUCAUUUCUGACUUGUUUCUUACUUUGUUUUGUUAAUCUUUUUAUAUUUUACUUUAAAAAAAAUUGUUUUAGUUUUCACAAGCA